rnacentral:lncRNA from 1 species
GUGCAACCUCAGGGACCAUGGGAAGAAUUCCAGCAGGAAGCUGCUGAUGACUGAGAUAAGGCAUCCUAAACUCAUCUUCUUUAUUACUAGUUGAAGUCUCUUCAGAGCCCGGCUCAAAGAAAGUUACUUUUCUUCCAUCACCUGGUUUCUUCACUGGUGUCUUCUCUUCUGUCUUUAAUGCUGGUUUUGGAGGCUGAGGUUGAGGGAUUUUGAAACCUAAAAUUUCCAACAUGUUUUCAGCUGCAUUGCGUUUAGCAACCUUUUUGUUUGUGCCCAUUCCUUCAGCUGUGUGUACACCAACUUUCACCUGCAUAACAAACUCCCUGCGUCUUGGAAGACCACGUUCUGUGAUGAGCAUAUACUCUGGUUCCUUCUCCUUCUUGGCCUGCUGUAUCUGGGCAAGUCUGCUAAUGGGAUUCAUGCCUUGACCAUAUUCUGGACUUGUCUGCAGCUUCACUAUUGAUUUCGUUUUCUUUUUGAUUCGUGGCUUCAUUUUCUCAACCGUAGGAAGGGGUGGCAAUUUUUUCAGUUCUUCUAAGACUGCUAUUGCAGCAUUUUUCUUUGAGAUCUUCUUGCUCUUUCCUUCACCUUCACCCAUGAAUUCUCCAACUGACACCUUGGUUACAAAGCUCUUCAUAUGGGGAGGACCACUUUCCUUGGUCACCUCUGGUUUCUCAGGCAAGGGCUCAUUCUGCAGAACUUUCAGUGCUUUAGCAGCUGCAUCGUGCUUAGCAGCUUGUCUUG